UCACGUCAUCAAUUACAAUUACGUUUUUCUUCCCAUAGCCCAUUUGGUAAAAUACGGUUCAAGCUGAAAUCGAAACUCGAACCGGACUGUGAUGGUGGUUUCAGAUGGUGGCGAGCGAGUGAAGCUCAACGUUGGCGGCGAAGUCUUCGAAACCAACGCGUCAACAAUUCAGUCAUCUUGCCCAGACUCUCUUCUUGCUGCUCUAUCGACUCCAACCUCCCAUGGCUCAAAUCCAGUUUUCAUCGAUCGUGACCCGGAGAUUUUCGCCGUCAUUCUCAAUCUCCUCCGUAUUGGUCGACUCCGAGCUAAUUCCUCCGGCGCAAGCAAGAGCUACACGAUGAGGCUAUGUAUUACGGCGUCGAAUCACUCCUCAGAUUGGCGAUGUUACCGCCGUUGCUGCUAGGUUUCGAUAUGGAUCUGUUUCGAUGGAGGCGGUGAUAGCGUACAGAGAAGUUGUGAAAUAGAUGGAGGCUUACCAAGAAAUCAGCAAGGGUUUCCAAGCCGAUAUGGAUAUGUUUCGAUGGAGGCGGUAAUUGUGUUAAGAACUUGUGUUAGGAAUUCCACCCGCGAAGCAAACCUCACGGUAACAGAAAGAAGAAGCUAAACAUCUUGAUCAUGGUGGAUGGCUCUUACAGUAUGAAACCUUGGUUUACAUCAGGUCUUGUAUAUUGGCGCCACAAGUGUAACACUUUCAACAGGUCUUCCACUCUCUCAUAUCCCUCAAAACAGCAAAUGAUGCA